GUUUACACAAUGUUGCUUUGGCGGGCCCGUCCCUCACAGGACCGCCGGGGGACCGUCAAACGUCCUCUGGCCCGCGCCCGCCGAUAGCCCCCAUUCAAAAAUUCUCCUAAAACAUGCCUUCUGAGUUCUAUGAUUUCUUUAAUGAAAAACAAAAAACUUUCAACAACGGAUCUCUUGGUUCUGGCAUCGAUGAAGAACGCAGCGAAAUGCGAUAAGUAAUGCGAAUUGCAGAAUUCCAGUGAGUCAUCGAAUCUUUGAACGCACAUUGCGCCCUUUGGUAUUCCGAAGGGCAUGCCUGUUCGAGCGUCAUUAUCACCCCUCAAGCCCCCUUUUGGGUUUGGCAUUGGACGGUCUUGGUUCGGUGGUGGUCUCUCGGGACCCCGGAAGAACCCCUCCUAAAGUGAAUGACGGCGGCUUGUCUGACCCCCGGUACACUGAGCUUCUUAACUGAGCACGUAUCGGUUCCAAGUGGUUGACAGUCGACGGUCUCCUCCCUCUCACCAGGGAAAAGAAGUUUACUUCUUUCUUACAAGGUUGACCUCGGAUCA
rnacentral:misc_RNA from 1 species